GCUGGGUGUGGCAGUGCAUAUCUGUAGUCCCAGCUACUCCGGAGGCUGAGGCAGGAGAAUCACUUGAGCCCAGGAGACUGAGGUUGCAGUGAGUAAAGAUCAUGCCACUGCACUCCAGCCUGGGCAACAGGGUGAGACUCUGGCUCAA
ensembl:misc_RNA Metazoa_SRP Metazoan signal recognition particle RNA